rnacentral:rRNA from 1 species
AGAGUUUGAUCCUGGCUCAGGACGAACGCUGGCGGCGUGCUUAACACAUGCAAGUCGAACGGAUUUUUUUAGCAGAAAUUUUCGGAUGGAAGCUAAGAAGGUUAGUGGCGGACGGGUGAGUAACGCGUGGGUAACCGGCCCCAACCUCGGGGACAACAGUUGGAAACGACUGCUAAUACCGGAUACGAUCAUCGGAAGGCAUCUUCUGAUGAUGAAAGGUGGCCUCUAUAUUAUGCUACUGAGUUGGGAUGGACUCGCGUCUGAUUAGAUAGUUGGUGAGGUAACGGCUCACCAAGUCGACGAUCAGUAGCCGGCCUGAGAGGGUGGCCGGCCACAUUGGGACUGAGACACGGCCCAGACUCCUACGGGAGGCAGCAGUGGGGAAUCUUCCGCAAUGGGCGAAAGCCUGACGGAGCAACGCCGCGUGAGUGAAGAAGGCCUUCGGGUCGUAAAGCUCUGUCUUUAGGGACGAACCGUACGUGUAAUAAUACGACACGUAUCUGACGGUACCUGAGGAGGAAGCUCCGGCUAACUACGUGCCAGCAGCCGCGGUAAUACGUAGGGAGCGAGCGUUGUCCGGAAUUACUGGGCGUAAAGGGCGCGUAGGCGGGGGUUUAAGUAAGGUGUGAAAACUAUAGGCUCAACCUGUAGACUGCACUUUAAACUGGAUCUCUUGAGGGCAGGAGAGGAAAGUGGAAUUCCUAGUGUAGCGGUGAAAUGCGUAGAUAUUAGGAGGAACACCAGUGGCGAAGGCGACUUUCUGGACUGUACCUGACGCUGAGGCGCGAAAGCGUGGGGAGCGAACAGGAUUAGAUACCCUGGUAGUCCUAGCUGUAAACGAU